rnacentral:rRNA from 1 species
GAGUUUGAUCAUGGCUCAGAUUGAACGCUGGCGGCAGGCCUAACACAUGCAAGUCGAGCGGUAGAGAGAAGCUUGCUUCUCUUGAGAGCGGCGGACGGGUGAGUAAUGCCUAGGAAUCUGCCUGGUAGUGGGGGAUAACGCUCGGAAACGGACGCUAAUACCGCAUACGUCCUACGGGAGAAAGCAGGGGACCUUCGGGCCUUGCGCUAUCAGAUGAGCCUAGGUCGGAUUAGCUAGUUGGUGAGGUAAUGGCUCACCAAGGCGACGAUCCGUAACUGGUCUGAGAGGAUGAUCAGUCACACUGGAACUGAGACACGGUCCAGACUCCUACGGGAGGCAGCAGUGGGGAAUAUUGGACAAUGGGCGAAAGCCUGAUCCAGCCAUGCCGCGUGUGUGAAGAAGGUCUUCGGAUUGUAAAGCACUUUAAGUUGGGAGGAAGGGCAGUAAAUUAAUACUUUGCUGUUUUGUACGUUACCGACAGAAUAAGCACCGGCUAACUCUGU